rnacentral:rRNA from 1 species
UACGUAGGGGGCAGGCGUUGUCCGGAUUUAUUGGGCGUAAAGAGCGUGUAGGCGGCUUGGAAGGUCCGUUGUGAAAACUCGAGGCUCAACCUCGAGACGCCGAUGGAAACCACCUAGCUAGAGUCCGGAAGAGGAGAGUGGAAUUCCUGGUGUAGCGGUGAAAUGCGCAGAUAUCAGGAAGAACACCCGUGGCUAAGGCGGCUCUCUAGUACGGUACUGACGCUGAGACGCGAAAGCGUGGGGAGCGAACAGG